UUUUCUUGCUGUUGCAUGGUCCUGCACCGUCCUUUGGAAGUGCAUCUGAGCCAUGCCAUGAGAGGGCGUGGCCUGUACGAGGUGUCCGCCCACAGAGAAACGCGUCUCUGUCAUUUGGCCCCAAACCUCGUGUAGUAAAAGGGCGCUCAAUACAACUGCAGUCUUCAACCGGCAGCGACCUGAACGCACCGCUGAGGCUGAGCAAAGGGGCAACGCAGUCACACCCUGUCGCUAAUGAGCCUGAGUGUGAGAAAGUCUGACCAUAGAGAUUCUCACUGCAACUCACGGAUGACUGGGUCCCUGUGGGAGAGACAUCAAGCCUGCACGCUCCAGCUAAGCCAAUCCAAACGAGUGCAAGAAAGAAAGAAACGUUAAAGGAAAGUUGCAGUUUGUGGAUGGGACGAUGGAAACGGAUAAAUAAAGUAAUUUCCUUUC